AGCCCUUCCGGUUAGUAUAAAUUGCCUACUAUGUUGUCUGUUAGCCAGGUGUGGCUAACCUCAGUACCGGUUGGCGCUUGGGGAAGCCCUGUACGCUGGGUGAAGUAGGUGAUGUUGGCGUGUUGGGUGUUGGACCCACACUGGAGCGCGUAGAGCGCAGCUGAAAUGCGGACGCCAGGUUGCCGCAUGUAGCCUAACCGGCUCGAAGGUAAGCCCUUCUGUGUGCACCUGGCGAUAGCCAAUUAUGUUUGUACUGUGGCUAACGAGAUGUUGUUUCACUGCAGCAUUGCAUGGUGAAGCAAGGGUCAACCGUAGACUUCCAAGCUCGGUCCAGUGCUUCCCAAUUGCAACUGAAGGUUGAGCACAUUAUUGUCAAUUGGCUGGGGUGGGGGGACGCCGCCGUCUUUUCCCGGUGUUUGUGUUUGUUAUUUUGCCUUUUACCACCACGAGCUCUUUUAGUAGUGGCAGGUUGUUGUUCCUUUGCGCAGGUGCGCGACGCUUUCGUCUUUCAGCCAUACGGUCUGACACGGUCAGCUCCAGUCACCCACCCCUUAGACAAGGGAUGAGUGAUUGGGGACUGGCCGGUUGAGAUUUGUAGCAGUAUCGUGUAAACUUAUUGGUGAGGUGUAGAUCCCCUGAGUGGUAUAGUAAACUCUCUGCCAAGAGGCCUGAUUUGAUAAACAUAGGCUACCUCUUCACUGUGAAUCAUUUCAGUGUGCUGUGACUUACUUUGUUUAUUUUGAUUAUGUUUUGUGUGUACAGUUUUGAUUGAUUGCAGUGUUAUGUUGCAUUCGCAGUGCAGUGUGUAGUUAACACACUCAGUAAAUUACCUGUACUAGGCCUACUCAGUGCUCUCGCACUUAAGCCGUCACCGUUUCACGAUAUGUACCUGUAUUGACUUCAGUAGAGUUAAGACUCUGUUUGUGUAUAUGGACUCAAGUGAACUGCCUGCUCAUUUUGAAAACGAAUAAGACUGAAAGCAGAAGAAAAUAAAAACUAUUGUAUGUGCAA